UGUGCUUUUAUUUUACUCUUUCAGAUACUGUUUUGACUGAUAAAUCCCUACCCUACAAACCUCAGGACUUCAAAUUUCUGGAUUCCCAGGCCUCGUCAACUGAGGGGACUUCUGUUAAAGAUGUGGUGCUCUCUUUGAAACGUUUUGCGACAACAGAUUUGCAGAAGGUCAGAGCAAUAUGGACAUGGGUGUCUACACAUAUCGUUUAUGAAAAUGAAGACUGCUAUACCACGGAUCCGCAGGAAGUGCUGAGGAAAAGAAAAGCUAAGUGUGGUGGACAUGCCAAACUGUUCCAGGAAAUGUGCAGGAUUGCAGGUGUGAAAUGUGAGUACAUUUCAGGAAAAAGUCAUGCUUGGAAUGCAGUUUAUAUUGAAAAUAAAUGGCACCUCAUUGAUGUUACAUGGAAUGGCACGGAAAAAUACUUCUUGACAAGACCCGAGGACUUCCGUGUAGACCACACACCAGAAGAUUCAAGCUGGACUUUGCUCAAAGAAAAUAGGAGACCAGAUAUUGCAGCUUAACUACAGUUAAACCAGAAAACAUGAAAGGUUGUUUUACAAUUUUUACCUUGACAAUCUGAUGUUUAUUCCACCAAGCUUUAUCUCUAAUCUUUUCAACAGCUAUCAUGUAGCAGACUUCACCUGUUCUAGUUAGUCUACAUAAAUGAAGGAGCAAUAUAGUUUUUAAUCACUUCCUAAUUCUUUAUUUUUUAUAGUUCCCUUAAUACAGUAUGUUCAGUCUCAAAAACUUUAAAACCAAAACACAAAGUUCAAUAAGAAAUAUAAAUUUACUAAAACACAGACAAGUGAGGUUUUAAGGAUAUAUUUAAAAGACCAAAUUGUGCUGUUGUAUUUUUUGCAGAAAAAUGGAUUAUGACUGAAUACAUGAUAAAUCACUAAUCUCUCUGUCCUGUGGUAAUCAAACUAAAUUAAAAAGGUUAAUAAACAGUUUACAAGCUGAA